rnacentral:rRNA from 1 species
UACGUAGGGGGCAAGCGUUGUCCGGAAUUAUUGGGCGUAAAGAGCGUGUAGGCGGUCCGGUAAGUCAGCUGUGAAAGUCAAGGGCUCAACCCUUGAAUGCCGGUUGAUACUGUCGGGCUAGAGUCCGGAAGAGGCGAGUGGAAUUCCCGGUGUAGCGGUGAAAUGCGCAGAUAUCGGGAGGAACACCAAUGGCGAAGGCAGCUCGCUGGGACGGUACUGACGCUGAGACGCGAAAGCGUGGGGAGCGAACAGG